rnacentral:rRNA from 1 species
UACGUAGGUGGCAAGCGUUAUCCGGAAUUAUUGGGCGUAAAGCGCACGUAGGCGGCUUUGUAAGUUAGAGGUGAAAGCCCAGGGCUUAACCCUGGAAUUGCCUUUAAGACUGCAUCGCUAGAAUUGUGGAGAGGUAAGUGGAAUUCCGAGUGUAGAGGUGAAAUUCGUAGAUAUUCGGAAGAACACCAGUGGCGAAGGCGACUUACUGGACACAUAUUGACGCUGAGGUGCGAAAGCGUGGGGAGCAAACAGG